rnacentral:rRNA from 1 species
AUUGAACGCUGGCGGCAGGCUUAACACAUGCGAGUCUAGCGAGCGGCGGACGGGUGAGUAAUGUCUGGGAAACUGCCUGAUGGAGGGGGAUAACUACUGGAAACGGUAGAUAAUACCGCAUACCAUCAGAUGUGCCCAGAUGGGAUUAGCUAGUAGGUGGGGUAAUGGCUCACCUAGGCGACGAUCCCUAGCGGGUCUGAGAGGAUGACCAGCCACACUGUAACGGAGACACGGUCCCACCUCCUCCGGGAGGCAGCAGUGGUGAAUAUUGCACAAUGGGCGCAAGCCUGAUGCAGCCAUGCCGCGUGUUUGAAGAAGGCCUUCGGGUUGUAAGGCACUUUCAGCGAGGAGGCGUUACUCGCAGAAGAAGCACCGGCUAACUCCGUGCCAGCAGCCGCGGUAAUUC